AAUCACUUUUAAGUGAAUAAAACAAAGGAAAAAGAGAGAGCUUGCAUUAAGUGUGUGUAUAUAUAUAUAUAUAUCUAACCUUUAACAAAUGAGAGUAAUACUCUUUUUCUAUAAUUUUUCUUCCUUUUGUUCAAAAUUUAAGUUUUCAGUUGGUGUAGUAAAAUAUUCAUAUCCAUCUAUUCAAGUUCGGUUUCUAGUGAAGUAUUAUUUGAAGGUUUUGCAGAAAGAUAUUAUAGCUUUGGUGUCUAGAUCCGGGCACUAGCAGUCGACAUUAACGUGAUUCUGCCUUUUAGUACUGAUUCAGAGCAGGGUGAGUUUGCUGUCGUCCGAAGCUGAUCCUUCUCUAUCUACUCCAGUUAGUCUUUUGCACUAGAGACUACUUAUGUAUAUUGUGGACAUUUUAGAUUUUAUCUAGUAUUCUGGGUAUCUGGUAGUAGUGGCUCUAGUACUGACCUUAUCAGGUUUUGGGAGGAAUUCAUUGUAUAGCUGUUCAUUUUUCCUCUUCUCAUAUUUGAUAUAAUAUAUAUACCUUUUUUUUUGUUUUUAA